rnacentral:piRNA from 1 species
GAAGACAAGUGAGGCCUGAAUAUG